rnacentral:rRNA from 1 species
UAAUUGAAGAGUUUGAUCAUGGCUCAGAUUGAACGCUGGCGGUAGGUUUUAAACAUGCAAGUCGAGCGGUAACAGACAUUUUGAUUCAGCUUGCUGAAUCUCGUGCUGACGAGCGGCGAACGGGUGAGUAACGCGUAGGAAUCUACCCAGUAGCGGGGGAUAGCCCGAGGAAACUCGGAUUAAUACCGCAUACGCCCUAAGGGGGAAAGGGGGCAUCUUUGAUGCUCUUACUAUUGGAUGAGCCUGCGUAAGAUUAGCUUGUUGGUAGGGUAAAGGCCUACCAAGGCUACGAUCUUUAGCUGGUCUGAGAGGACGAUCAGCCACAUUGGGACUGAGACACGGCCCAGACGUCUACGGACGGCAGCAGUUAAGAAUAUUGGACAAUGGGGGAAACCCUGAUCCAGCCAUACCGCGUGUGUGAAGAAGGCCUUAGGGUUGUAAAGCACUUUAAGCAAUGAAGAAGAAAAAUAAGUUAAUACCUUGUUUUUUUGACAUUAGUUGCAGAAUAAGUACCGGCUAACUCCGUGCCAGCAGCCGCGGUAAUACGGAGGGUACAAGCGUUAAUCGGAAUUACUGGGCGUAAAGCGCGCGUAGGCGGUUAAGCAAGUUGGAUGUGAAAGCCCCGGGCUCAACCUGGGAACUGCAUUCAAAACUACUUAGCUAGAGUACGAGAGAGGAGAGUAGAAUUUCUGGUGUAGCGGUGAAAUGCGUAGAUAUCAGAAGGAAUACCGAUGGCGAAGGCAGCUCUCUGGCUCGUCACUGACGCUAAGGUGCGAAAGCGUGGGUAGCAAACAGGAUUAGAUACCCUGGUAGUCCACGCCGUAAACGAUGAGAACUAGCCGUUGGAGGGAAUUAACUCUUCGGUGGCGCAGCUAACGCAUUAAGUUCUCCGCCUGGGGACUACGGCCGCAAGGCUAAAACUCAAAUGAAUUGACGGGGGCCCGCACAAGCGGUGGAGCAUGUGGUUUAAUUCGAUGCAACGCGAAGAACCUUACCUGGUCUUGACAUCCUGCGAACUUUCUAGAAAUAGAUUGGUGCCUUCGGGAACGCAGUGACAGGUGCUGCAUGGCUGUCGUCAGCUCGUGUCGUGAGAUGUUGGGUUAAGUCCCGUAACGAGCGCAACCC